UAUAUUAACAGUGCCUGCCUAUUACUCUGGUUUAGGGCCCGAAAGGAGCACCAGGGAAGCGUGGGAAACCUGGAGAUCCAGGAUUACCUGGACUUCCAGGAGUGGAUGGCUUAACAGGAGCUGAUGGCCCGCCUGGGCCGAAUGGCCCCCGAGGAGACAGGGGUGCAAUAGGACCUCCUGGGCCAGUUGGACCAGCAGGCAAAGGACUUGCAGGACCACCAGGACCUCCAGGCCCCAGCGGGCUUCCCGGUGCAACAGGAUCGCAAGGGCCACCUGUAAGUAUCCUUUUCUUUCCAUGGAUCCCAUAUCUUAUAUCUCAAAGAAAUAAAUCAGUUGACUCACACUUCCACGUCCUUCGCUAGAGAUGGUAGUGCUGUUUGAAACAGAUGCUCUCACCCAUACAGAAGCUGGAUCUCUAUAAAGAUGGGGGGGGGGAAAUCACAGAGAAUAUAUCAAACUACUUUUUCUGCCUGAAUGAUCUUUAUGGGCUCUUUGAAGCUACUGCUAGCCAGAGAAAAACGUGAAGAGAUAAAGGGGAUCUUUCCCCCAAGUAUCUUCUGGCGAGUGGCUGGGUUUUUUGAAGAACAAGGACAUGGAACAUGCUCUUCAAAAGCCCGGAUUUGGUCCUUGGGGUGACUUUCCAGCGGCCCAC
rnacentral:lncRNA from 1 species